rnacentral:rRNA from 1 species
GACGAACGCUGGCGGCGUGCUUAACACAUGCAAGUCGAACGGUGAAGGGGCCUGCUUUUGUGGGUCCUGGAUGAGUGGCGAACGGGUGAGUAACACGUGAGUAACCUGCCCCCUUCUUCUGGAUAACCGCAUGAAAGUGUGGCUAAUACGGGAUAUUCUGGGUCUGUCGCAUGGUGGGCCUGGGAAAGAUUGCGCCUUUUUUGGUGUUUUUGGUGGGGGAUGGGCUCGCGGCCUAUCAGCUUGUUGGUGGGGUGAUGGCCUACCAAGGCGGUGACGGGUAGCCGGCCUGAGAGGGUGGACGGUCACACUGGGACUGAGACACGGCCCAGACUCCUACGGGAGGCAGCAGUGGGGAAUAUUGCACAAUGGGCGCAAGCCUGAUGCAGCGACGCCGCGUGAGGGAUGGAGGCCUUCGGGUUGUGAACCUCUUUCGUCAGUGAAGCAGGCCUGCCUCGUUUGUGGGUGGGUUGACGGUAGCUGGAUAAGAAGCGCGGCU